AGAUAUCCUCAUCUAGUGUAGAACAAACAACAAGACAGCAGACACAUACCACUCAAUAUACUUCUACCACUGAAAAAGAAUCUACAUUGACAAGUGAAAUUGGAUCAACAGCGGCAACUAAAUUAUCCACAACAGAUUCUACUUCAUCUUUACCAUCGUCUACAACAAUCGGGCAGACAAGAACAGAGUUAAUUUUGUCUACAACACUAAUAUCUCCAUCCACUGCAAAGCAAACAACAAGUCAGCAGACACAAACCACUAGUUUAAUUUCAAGUACAGAAACACAUUCAACACAGUCAAUUCAUUCGACAUUUCCACCACUGGAAACCACUGGAUCAAUUUCUCCAAACUCACCUGCCUCACUCACUACAACUUCCCUCAAUCCUAACUCACAUCAAACAAUAACUCAAACUGUUACAGCCCAAACAUUUAGCAAUUCAACCUCAGCCCAGUCAAGCCCUUCUGCUCAAACUAGUACCCAGAAAACUUCAUCAACAUCAACAGCACCUCCUUUAUCCAUAACAACUGUCAACUCAGUUUCAACAACUCAAAACUGUCUGGAGUAUUGUCAGUGUAACGGGUCCCCAUGCAUCUUCAAUGUAGCAUCUGGGAAAUGUCAGUGUAAAUGCAAUAAUUUCACUUUUGGAGAUACUUGCAAUUUUGCAAAUGACUCAUCCACGGUCACUUGGUCUGAAAGCAUACCCACAAGGAACGCAAAUAUCUCUCUCAGAAUUAUGAUGGACUAUCUUACAGAGUAUGAAAAUGUGAACUCUCCAAAAUCAAAAAAACUCAUUUCCAUCUUAAAACGUGAGCUUUCAAUCCUUUGUAGAAGAGCAGAUGCACAAAAUUUCAAGGAUGUGCAAAUACGUAAGCUAACGCCAGGAAGUGUCAUUGCUGAAAGUAUUGCAGUGUAUAACUAUCCCAACAACAACUCACAAAUAAUGUUUCUAAAUAACGAUUUGGGACCCACCCUGGAAAAAAUCUUUAAUGACUCAGAUUCAUUUAAAAAUCUCAGCAUGGCUCUUGGCAAUGCUUCCAUCCAAUAUGCCCAAAUUACCAUGGGUACAGUUGAAAUAUCAAAUAUUUCAGAUCUACAUCCAUUUGUGCAAUGCACCGUGAAUUUUACAAGCUUAACAGUAGAGAUUGAAGAUGGGGCAUGGGUAUGUGUGGGAUCAUGCAAAAAAAAUCCCAACUUCUGCAAUCAACAAGGUGAAUGCAAAAAUGAAAUAAAUGGACCACAGUGCAAGUGUUACAGUUCUUACUUUGAGAAGUACUAUGGAGCUCAGUGUGAGCUUUACAGCAGAGGAGCCGGUUUCUACGCUGUUCUCUUCGGCUGUUUAGUAGCUUUUGCUCUACUUAUCAUUGUUUCAGCUGUGAUAACUGUGGUGCUCUGCAGAGCCAAGAGAACAUCAAGCAGAAAAAGGCUAUCAUUAUUUGACGACGACUUCUUUGAUUUUACAUCAAGAGGAUCCAUAGACAGAGGUUAUGGGCAUCAAAACUUUUCUGUCACAGAAAAUUCGGAAUCUGGGUCUUUCAGAUAAAGACCACAGCAAAUGAAGUGACUGAUGAACAGAGAAGACGAACAGAGAAGAUAUUUUUAAAAGACGUCAGACACUAUAAUCUCAGGAAGCCAACAUAAUAUUACAUGCAUUUACUGGGUUUCUUAUAGAUUAUUUAGAGUACCUCAAGUCAAAUCUAUUCUACUCUCUUUUCUAUUUCUACUUGUCUACUAUUUUUUACUUUCUUUCUUUAAUUUUUUUCUUAAAAAAUAAGUAGCGUUUCCUAUUCUUUUUCUGUUCUAUCUACCUGAUUUCUUUUUAUUUAGCCUAUUAUUUAAAAAUUGCACUAACAGAUUAUUGCCCUUUUGUUGGUUUUGAUUGCUUCUGUUGUCCUCAUGUGAAAGUCACAUUGGAUAAAAACAUCUGCUAAAUGACUAAAUGUAAAAUGAUUGUCAUAAUAAUGAUUGUUCAUAAUAAUACAUAACAAGAACAAUGUAAAAAGCACCUCUGUAAAACUCAGUCACUUAAAACUCAAAAGCACUUAUCUAUGAUACCAAGCACUCCAGCAUAUGCAUAAAUCAACAGUAAACAAAUUAAAUAGGUUGGGGUUGUUAAUAUAUGGUCCACUACUUUGCACAAGAGCUCACACACAAUUAGUCACAAAACAGGCCAAUGAGAACAAUUCUGUCUGUUUGCGCACUCUGUUACACACAUACCUUGUAUUUUUAUGAUUUCUGUGAUGCUUCACUAGAGGGCAUGCUUUUUAUGGUUUAUGGCUAGUCAUGAAAAAUCCUCUUUUACAUCGUCACUCUCUCUACGUCCAUGUUUGAUAAUUAAUAUACAUUAGAAGCUGUACUUCGGUCCAAUGAGCUGACGGUGUGGGCGGGGCUUCCUCUUUACAAUGCUGCCACAUUAACCAGUUAGUAGCUACAGUCAGUUAUGUUGUUUUUUAAUAUUUUUUUAUUGUUGUUGACACUGUACAUUUACUCAUAUAGUAUCUACGGUUUUUGUCAUGAUAGUAUUGCUUGUGAUUACAUUGGAAGCACAUUAAUAUAUUGUUAAACUAAUAUUUAUAGGGAAAAUAGGUGUAGGGAAAAUAGUAUGUCUGCAAAUAAAAUUCUUAAAAUAAAGCA
ensembl:lncRNA